GCAUCGCAUUCAGAAUCGCCUUUUUCCGAAUUUUUUUGUAGUUUGUAUCAAGAACGAACAAACAAAAAUAUCAUUUAUACACAAACCGUGUCAGUGUGUUCAAGCAAGCAUCGACUUAGUGAAGAGUAAAUUGUUGUAUUCUUAGUUCGGCGUCUACUUUUAUUGUAUUUGCAAGAGUGUUCGACAUUUUUUGUGACAAGAACCUUGGGUGUGUCAAUUAUUCCGCAAUUUUUUUUCCAUUUAUAAAAUACUGCAUUUUGAUCAAGCUUCAACAUGAGCGACUCACCAAAAUACUAUCCAUUCCAGUGCACACCAACCGUUUACCCAACCGAUCCAUUCGAACCAAAUCAAGAUGCUGAUACAUUGCGUCAGGCUAUGAAAGGUUUUGGCACCGAUGAAAAAGCAAUCAUCGAAAUUCUUGCACGCCGUGGCAUCGUUCAACGUAUUGAAAUUGCUGAUGCAUUCAAAACUGCUUACGGCAAAGAUUUGAUUAAAGAGCUUAAAUCCGAAUUGGGCGGUAAAUUCGAAGAUGUUAUUGUCGCUUUGAUGACACCUUUACCCCAGUUCUAUGCAAAGGAGUUGCAUGAUGCCGUCGCUGGUUUGGGCACCGACGAAGAAGCAAUCAUCGAAAUUUUGGCCACACUAUCGAAUUACGGCAUCAAAACGAUUGCCGAAUUCUAUGAACGUGACUUUGGACGAAGCUUGGAAGAUGAUUUGAAAGGAGACACCAGCGGCCAUUUCAAACGCUUGUGCGUCUCUUUGGUCCAAGGCAACCGCAACGAAGAUCAAACCAUUGAUGAAGCUGGAGCUAGGCAAGAUGCUGAAGCUCUUCAUCAAGCCGGUGAAGGUCAAUGGGGUACUGAUGAAUCCGUUUUCAACGCCAUUUUGGUGACUCGUUCCUACUCACAAUUGCGCCAAAUUUUCCAAGAAUACGAAAACAUUAGUGGCAACAGCAUCGAAGAUGCCAUCAAACGCGAGUUCAGCGGAUCAGUUGAAAAAGGAUUCUUGGCCAUUGCCAAAUGUGUCAAGUCGAAGGUGGAUUUCUUUGCCGAACGUUUGCAUGACGCCAUGGCUGGUAUGGGCACCAACGACAAAACACUGAUUCGAAUCAUUGUCUCGCGAUCUGAAAUCGAUUUGGGUGAUAUCAAAGUUGCCUUCGAAAAUAAAUACGGCAAGAGCCUAGAAUCAUGGAUCAAGGAUGACUUAGCAGUCGAGUACGGUUAUGUGCUUGAAAUGCUUUCGACCUACUAAAAUGAUGUAUUUCCGCCCCUGUCAAAUAGCAUUCCAAUGUAUAUUGACUGAGAAAUAAUGAUGGAGGAUGUCGGUGGUGAUAUUGGCUCAGUUUUGGUUCAUCUGUGUUGCUACUAAAAUCGAAAAGAUUUAAAUCUGAACAGAAAUCAAAUGCUUCCAUCCGACGAAUGGCUGCUGGUUUCGCCAUCAUUCAUUUUUGGCCUUAUUUUCCUUUGAAUAUAUAAUUUUUAAGCAUUUUUUUUUAUUUUAGUUUUUGUGCACGUAAUACUCAUAAUUAAUGUUUUUUUUUUGUUUGUUUGAUGAAUUUACUUCAAAAUUGAAUUGGUGGUCUUUUAUUUCUCCCCUUUAUAUUUGUCAUGCAUAUGCUGUGCUGAUCUGUAAAUAGUUUGAUUUCCAAAUUGAAUAUUUCUUUUCUCUAAAAUAUUUCUUUUUCAACCAUUCCGAAACAUUUUUGUGAUUUUUUUUUUCGAAUAUUUUUUAAAUACUUUUCAGGAUGACAUUUCUGGUGAUUAUCGCGAUGUAUUGGUUUCAUUAAGUGGAAAUUAAAGCCAUCCGCUAAACUAGAUUCUCAUUAGAAGACCACUCAAACACAUAAAUCAUAUAUUUUUUUCCACCAAUCAAUUUGUGACUUACAUUUAAUUUCAGAAAAUUCAAAUCAUUUACAUUUCUUUCUAAUUAAAAUCAAAAUACUUGUCUAGCAUGUUUGAUUAUAUUUUUGUUAACAAUUUUUGCACUUAUUCUUAUGAGCCUAUUUAAAAUUGAAACAUAAAAUAAUAAAAUAAAAUAUAUAUAUUUAUGUUAAAAAAAACUGUCGAUGUUUACACACUGGAAGCACAACGAAUUUGAUAAUAGAUCAGUUGCACGCCAGUUGGAAGUGCUGUAAUUUAUACAUUCACCUUUGGAUCUAAUUGCCAUUUUUAUAAAUAAAAAAUUGAAGAAAAAAAGAAAUUAAAUUUUAAAAUUCCAAACAGUAAUUUUCAAUGAAUCGAGCAACUAUGUGUUUUUUAAAUGUUGAAUUUUUAUUCAAAUGCCUUUGUAAGCAGUUUUGAACGUAAAUGAUAAAAGAAAACAAAUCUGUUCACAUCA